rnacentral:rRNA from 1 species
GAUGAACGCUGGCGGCGUGCCUAAUACAUGCAAGUCGAGCGAACGGACGAGAAGCUUGCUUCUCUGAUGUUAGCGGCGGACGGGUGAGUAACACGUGGAUAACCUACCUAUAAGACUGGGAUAACUUCGGGAAACCGUAGCUAAUACCGGAUAAUAUUUUGAACCGCAUGGUUCAAAAGUGAAAGACGGUCUUGCUGUCACUUAUAGAUGGAUCCGCGCUGCAUUAGCUAGUUGGUAAGGUAACGGCUUACCAAGGCAACGAUGCAUAGCCGACCUGAGAGGGUGGUCGGCCCCACUGGAACCUGGACACGGUCCAGACUCCUACGGGAGGCAGCAGUAGGGAAUCUUCCGCAAUGGGCGAAAGCCUGACGGAGCAACGCCGCGUGAGUGAUGAAGGUCUUCGGAUCGUAAAACUCUGUUAUUAGGGAAGAACAUAUGUGUAAGUAACUGUGCACAUCUUGACGGUACCUAAUCAGAAAGCCACGGCUAACUACGUG